rnacentral:rRNA from 1 species
CAGCCGCGGUAACACCAGCUCCAAUAGCGUAUAUUAAAGUUGUUGCGGUUAAAAAGCUCGUAGUUGAAUCUGUGUCCCACACUGUCGGUUCACCGCUCGCGGUGUUCAACUGGCAUGUCUGUGGGACGUCCUACCGGUGGGCGCAGCCCGUCAAAAGGCGGCCCAACUCAAAAUCCUACCACGGUGCUCUUCACCGAGUGUCGAGGUGGGCCGGUACGUUUACUUUGAACAAAUUAGAGUGCUUAAAGCAGGCUCAUUCGCCUGAAUAUUCUGUGCAUGGAAUAAUGGAAUAGGACCUCGGUUCUAUUUUGUUGGUUUUCGGAACUCCGAGGUAAUGAUUAAUAGGGACAACUGGGGGCAUUCGUAUUGCGACGUUAGAGGUGAAAUUCUUGGAUCGUCGCAAGACGGACAGAAGCGAAAGAAAUGUGUUUUCAUCAAUCAAGAACGAAAGUUAGAGGUUCGAAGGCGAUCAGAUACCGCCCUAGUUCUAACCAUAAACUAUGCCAGCUAGCGAUCCGCCGAAGUUCCUCCGAUGACUCGGCGGGCAGCUUCCGGGAAACCAAAGCUUUUGGGUUCCGGGGGAAGUAUGGUUGCAAAGCUGAAACUUAAAGGAAUUGACGGAAGGGCACCACCAGGAGU